CAAGAGGAGCCACCGCCGCCGCCGCCGCCGCCGCCGAGAGGAGACGCCCCAGCCCCGAGAGGAGACGCCGCCGCUGCCGGGGAACGAGGUCGCCGCCGCCUCCAGGUCGCCGCCGUCACGCACCGCCUCCUCCAGGUCGCCGCCGUCACACAUUGCCUCAGGUCCGUUGAUCUCUCUCCUCCUCGCCACUCUUCACUGCCAGCCCCACACAGCUCUGCCUCCACGGCGGGGAUUCACUCUAUGGCGUUCAAGAGAGGUGGCUGCAGCCGCCAUGCUGCCGAUCCGGUCCUUGCUGCUGGAUCCGGACCUCUCCACCCCUCCUCCCGGUCCGAUCCAAUGGCGUUCGCACGGCGUCGAUCUCCCGGACGGCGUGAGGUCCUAGCGGCAACGUCAGGCCCCUUGCGAUUGGGGUCAAUUUGAGGUGGCUCCGGUGGAAACGUGGAACACAUCCCAUUGUUACAGGGGCUCCCGAGGCGACAUCCAGUUGCUCUGCGUGCGGGGGUUAUUUUCACCUCUGUUUGCUUUUGCUUUAGUUGUCCGCGCUCAAUCUCUGUCUCUGGUGGUGCAAGCUCCGCAUGCACUCGUCCGAGCUUGCCGAGCAGUCUGCACUGAAGCAAACUCACUGGUCGUCCUUUUCCUUUUCAGUUUGAGAUAGACAGAAGUAUGUAUGUGUCGUUCGUUCGUUGUAGUUGCUGCUGUUCAAAUCUCAGCAUCAUUAUACAGUACCGGCCAUUCUCGCUGACACUAACAGUACUUGGAGAUUUACCAACAAUGGCAGUAGACAUCUUCCUAAACUCCGUUCACACUGCCGGCCCCCAAUUUGUUUCCAUUCCCUGACAUGCAUAAGAUAUCUGCGAUAUUUGCCGAAUUAUUAUUUGCAGGUUUGAAGUACCAGGGCACAAUGGCUGAUAGGGCACUGGAGGAACUGCACACCAUGGUUCAGACACCAACUUCCCUGAUGCGACCAACUCAUCAGUUCAGUGAGCAUUGUAUCCUCUUACUGUUGCCAUAAUUACAUGCAUUUCACUUUUGCAUUAUAUGUGUACUAUUGCAUGGUAGUUGAACACGAAUUUGGGUUACUUGACAUCGUAAAAUACGGUGGCUACUCUUGGAUCCGGUGAAUCUGGUGGUUCUGCUUAUAUUAUGUAUUGUGGGACUAUUGAGUUCACAACGCUUUCCAAAUACUCAUAUGUGAUUUCUUUUUGAUUUAUACUCGUGCAGAAAAAAUCUUGAUUCUUGAAUUGUUGAAGGCAGCUGUAGCUAAGGCUGGUUACACUAGAAGAAUUUUUUUGUCUAUACAUAGUUCAUGAUUCAGCCCUUGUGUACUAAUUCAUGUGUGACGGUUGGUCAUUGAACUGGAUGUUGCUGCUUCUGAAUGUUACGGUGAAAAGGAUCAGACUCAUCAGCCUCGAUUUUCUUGUGUCUUGAAAUGCAGGGGAACGACAUUGUAAGCUUGGUUAGUUUGAUGUCCUACGGAGAAGCAAAAUUGGUUGUGCCCACUGCCAGAAGAUUCAUCUUUGUACUCUCUUCUCCAUUUAUCAGUGCAACGAGAGGCAGAGUUAGUCAUGGUGAUGAUCAUAUUGUAUUAUUGUGAUGCUUGCAGACUGGGAGUGUAUUUAUACUUCAUGCUUAUGAGUUAUGAUGAAUCAUUUCGAUGGCAUUACAUAGGUCAGUGGGAAAAGGUCAUUAGGGACUAGCAUGUUUCACUAUUGUGAUUACAAACUAAAACUUGUGCAAGUAUGAUAAAUGGGUGCAUUGAUCUCUUUUUUGUUGUAGUGCAACACCUUGGAGAUGCACACAAUUUGAUAUUACAGUUCUAUAACAUCUCGGAGAUGCACACAAGUUGGUGCCUCUUUUUCUACUAUCAAUGAUGUUUGCUGCAGAGAUUUUACUUGAGUUGUGGUUCUUGGUUGAAAGCCCCCUUUCAUCAUAGUUUACUUGAAGGCAGCUUGAGUCAUCUUUGGAAGCAAUAUUUCUAAGUUUUUUAUUUAUAAAGAACCAUGUUAUAUUUGUUUGUUUUUUGUAUAAGCGGCAGAUCUUUUAAACAGAUAUUGUGAUUAAAAUUAUGACAGCAUGGAUGUUCAUCACUAUUCUUUUUGGACUUGAAUAGAUCUAUGUCUAAAUUACACAUAAUGUCUACGAGUAAAUUAUUAUAGAUUGACUUUCAUGUCGACGUCUUUCUUGGAUCUGUGAUGAAGCAUAGUCAUCUUAGUACUAUGUUGCUUUCUACAUGUCUUCUCAUGACCUUAUUACAGAUUCUGUUUAUAUGGUUUUAAACAAAUAUGAUAUUUUUGUAGCACAUUUCGUAUAAGUUUUUCUCCUACUACAGAGAUAACUUUAGUUUAGUCCGUAAACUUGCAGGUCAGUUCUGAUGUAUGUUCAAUAGCUCAAUUUUGUUUUGACCUACUACAUUUAGUCAAUGUUAGCUCUAGCAUCAACACUAACUGUCACUCUCAUGCCACCCCAUGGACGCCUCUGACCCAGAGUUUCCUUCUGCAGUUUGUUGAAAAUGAAGUGCUUCCACCAGCAUGAGUAUUCCAUGAAAAUCAGACUUAAUGUUGCUCCUUGCUCGUGGCGUUGAAGUGGUGGCGACAGGCGAUGGCGGCGGCGUUGUCGAUUGCGGUGAGGACAUCCCGUGGCAUCCCUCGAAGCACCAACACGACGCCACCUGGUCUACCAUCUCCAUAUGGGCGAGUUCUCUUGAUCCCCAGCGUACUCUCUCACCUCCUCCAAAUUCCUCGACCCCUAACUUCUCGAUCCCUACCAGGCUACCACGAUCUGAUCCGAAGGCCGAUGCAGCUCCGGGCUAUUGAUAAUGGAGGUUGAGGAUCCUUCCUCUCAGCACCCACUCAUGGCAGAAUCAGCAGCGUGCCACGCGGAUGGAACCCGGCCGAGAUCAUGGGAUGCUUCCACACAGGGCUCGCCAAGAUUGCAAUUCUGAACUUUUUUGUAAACAAAGUGAAGAGUGGGACAUGAUCUGUACUUGUGCUAAUAUAAAAUAUACAGUACUUGUGUAGGUGCAGAUGUAUCUCGAUCCACUAUGUCUGAUCACAAGGUGACAAUGGCGGCAUAGCAGCCCGGAGGAGACGGCGGCGAGCCCCCCUCCUCCAACUGUAGCAAUUCACCAGGUGGCGGCACGAACGACCUUCAUCUCUAGAUGCUUCCCUGCACACCGAUGAGAUUCACGCUGAUGGUCUUGACUCCUAACCAAUGUCUUUUAGGCCUGAAGUCCCUGUAGUACCCAAGGUCGAGUGAUCACUGCUGCGCCUCGCCGUGUCCUGACUCCUGACCAAUGUCCUUUAGCCUCCGGUCUCAGUUUCUUUAUGCAUAAUUUUUUUAAAGAAAUCAAAGAUCUUGUUAUGUAAUGUUUAGUAUCUCUUUGUACCUCUGAUUUAUGCACCAAACUAGAAGGGGGUCAAGAAGGCAUGGAUGUUCAAUAUUUUUUCCAAUAAUAUAUGGUGAAAAAACAAUUUGAUUUUUGUAUACUUGUGUCUUUCAUGUUCACUUGGUCCAUUAGUUUAAUUUUCUUGAACUUCUAUUUGGAAGGAGGCAAAUUGAUCAGAUGUCACCAUCUCACAUCUCAGUGCCAGUCUAUUGUUACAUUGGGACGUAUUAUUCUGUUAUGUAAUAUUCUGAAUAAUAAUUUGAUUAUGUCCAAGUGUACAGUUGAAGAAUUAUCUAUCAGUGCAUAGAGUAUUUUCGACUUUCACCAUCGAGUCUUUGUAGGUAAGUUGUAUUUGUUUAAUCUACUGACACCUGCAUAUUUGAUAUGAAAUGCAGGAAGGGCCACAACUAAUUAAUGUUCUCAUAAUGCUACCAUAAUUCUAUGCUUUCUCAUCUGUACUGGUAAUUGUUCAGGCAUAGAUGCAUUAUUCAGAAUGGGAGAACAAUACUUGUAUGAAUUGAUUACCCUCCUGGUCAGUACUAUUUUUUAUUAUAAGUAUUCAGUUGCCUGCAAAAUAAUUCUAUGAUAGACAUCUAACUGCAUGUUGUUGUGUGACCUGCACCUAAACUGGUAACAGAAACAACAAACUGCUUGAAACUCGGCGCCUUUGUAUUUGCCCUCAUUUGUUGAGGUUCAGUUUCACAAAUUAGACACACUAUGAACCUGAUAGCAUUUUUAUCUUAGUUUAGGCAUCCAUACAACCUGAAGAAACUGCGCCAUUUGAGCACCAGAACAUCUAGGGUCUAAACAGAUGUGCUGUUGAUGCUGCUACAUGCAGCAACCUGAUGAACGCCCUCAAGGUAGUAAUGAAUGUUUUUUAGGUGCCAUCUUGUUUCUUGAUUUUGGUUAUUUGACUGAUGCUAGACCUUGGUAACUUGAUCACACACACACGCGCGCGCGCACACACACAGAGUACUUGUAGGCGAGUUCAGCAUGACAUUCCUGAUCAUAUGUUGGUUUGUGUAUUUCAUAAUUAGUUAGACUACCAUAUCCCAAGUGUAUAUUUUUAAUUGCCUAAACAAGUAUAGAAAUGCUCUGCAUCAGCAUCCAAAAGGAGUUUUACAGUCUAUUACAAUUGCCACUCAGAAAAUCUGAAAAUUGUCACUACAAGACCGUCCAAUAUUUUUGAAUUAGUGACUAUAAGUAAACAUCUGGGCUGAUGUUGUUAUUUAUACAAGUAUGACCAAGUUAUUCAUCUUGGCCUCUGGAAUAAUUGAAUCAAGAACAAGAACCUUGAAAAGUUGUUAUUAUUAUUAUGCCGCACGAGAAAAAUAUUUCUUUAGCGUAUAGUAUUACCGUUGUGACACUUUUUGAGUCCCACAACAAUGGACGGUUAUCCUUAUAUAUUUUCACAAUCUUCAGAUUUGGAGGGUGAGAUGCUACAUCAGUUCAACUUCAAGCUACCUUGCUUCUUUGUGAGGGAACCAAUCAACUAACUGAAUGAAAUAAUUUCAGCAUUCCAUUUCUUUAGGACAAUUGCAGCAAGGAAGUCUAAAAUUGAUGCACCGGAGCAGCGUGAUGCCCUUAUUAAUCUUGAUGUACCUAUCCCUUUAUUUAGGACAAUUACAGCAAGGAAGUAGGAGGAAGAAGAAAUGCAGGCGACCUCAUGAAAGCCAACAACAAAGAUCCACAUUUUGCGAAAUGUAGAAGUGAGAGGAGGAACCAUGAAUUUUUAACGAGCAUUAGUUUGUGGCUCACGGAUGAAGAUUGCAAGUACUACUUUGUAACAGUUCCAAACAGCUGAUCGUGCUUUGAAAUUAAGCCUAUCGGAAGCAAAAAAUGAAAGUUAGGUCCCCUGUAACAUGGUGAGGGCACUCAAGUCCUGAGCUUGCUACGUAAAAUUAGUUGCCAUAUAUUUUGGAUUUUUUAA